UACGUAGGGCGCGAGCGUUGUCCGGAAUUAUUGGGCGUAAAGAGCUCGUAGGCGGCCAGUUGCGUCUGCUGUGAAAUCCCGGGGCUCAACCCCGGGCUUGCAGUGGAUACGGGCUGGCUGGAGGCAGGCAGGGGAGAACGGAAUUCCCGGUGUAGCGGUGAAAUGCGCAGAUAUCGGGAGGAACACCGGUGGCGAAGGCGGUUCUCUGGGACGGUACUGACGCUGAGACGCGAAAGCGUGGGGAGCAAACAGG
rnacentral:rRNA from 1 species